rnacentral:rRNA from 1 species
AACGAACGCUGGCGGCAGGCUUAACACAUGCAAGUCGAACGCAUCCUUCGGGGUGAGUGGCAGACGGGUGAGUAACGCGUGGGAACAUGCCCUUCAGUUUGGAAUAACCCAGGGAAACUUGGGCUAAUACCGGAUACGCCCUUAGGGGGAAAGAUUUAUCGCUGAAGGAGUGGCCCGCGUCUGAUUAGCUAGUUGGUGAGGUAAUGGCUCACCAAGGCGACGAUCAGUAGCUGGUCUGAGAGGAUGAUCAGCCACACUGGGACUGAGACACGGCCCAGACUCCUACGGGAGGCAGCAGUGGGGAAUAUUGGACAAUGGGCGCAAGCCUGAUCCAGCCAUGCCGCGUGAGUGAUGAAGGCCUUAGGGUUGUAAAGCUCUUUCGUCCGGGACGAUAAUGACGGUACCGGAAGAAGAAGCCCCGGCUAACUUCGUGCCAGCCGCCGCGGUAACAC